GAGGCACUACGGUGCUGAAGUAACAAAUGCCCUGCUUCCAGGAAAAGCCUCUAAGCAUCAGGUAACACGAAAUCGUACCCCAAACCGACACAGGUGGUCAGGUAGAGAAUACCAAGGCGCUUGAGAGAACUCGGGUGAAGGAACUAGGCAAAAUGGUGCCGUAACUUCGGGAGAAGGCACGCUGAUAUGUAGGUGAAGUGGUUUACCCAUGGAGCUGAAAUCAGUCGAAGAUACCAGCUGGCUGCAACUGUUUAUUAAAAACACAGCACUGUGCAAACACGAAAGUGGACGUAUACGGUGUGACGCCUGCCCGGUGCCGGAAGGUUAAUUGAUGGGGUUAUCCGUAAGGAGAAGCUCUUGAUCGAAGCCCCGGUAAACGGCGGCCGUAACUAUAACGGUCCUAAGGUAGCGAAAUUCCUUGUCGGGUAAGUUCCGACCUGCACGAAUGGCGUAAUGAUGGCCAGGCUGUCUCCACCCGAGACUCAGUGAAAUUGAACUCGCUGUGAAGAUGCAGUGUACCCGCGGCAAGACGGAAAGACCCCGUGAACCUUUACUAUAGCUUGACACUGAACACUGGUCCUUGAUGUGUAGGAUAGGUGGGAGGCUUUGAAGUGUGGACGCCAGUCUGCAUGGAGCCAUCCUUGAAAUACCACCCUUUAAUGGCUGGUGUUCUAACGUAGACCCGUAAUCCGGGUUGCGGACAGUGUCUGGUGGGUAGUUUGACUGGGGCGGUCUCCUCCUAAAGAGUAACGGAGGAGCACGAAGGUUAGCUAAUCCUGGUCGGACAUCAGGAGGUUAGUGCAAAGGCAUAAGCUAGCUUGACUGCGAGAGUGACGGCUCGAGCAGGUGCGAAAGCAGGUCUUAGUGAUCCGGUGGUUCUGAAUGGAAGGGCCAUCGCUCAACGGAUAAAAGGUACUCCGGGGAUAACAGGCUGAUACCGCCCAAGAGUUCAUAUCGACGGCGGUGUUUGGCACCUCGAUGUCGGCUCAUCACAUCCUGGGGCUGAAGUAGGUCCCAAGGGUAUGGCUGUUCGCCAUUUAAAGUGGUACGCGAGCUGGGUUUAGAACGUCGUGAGACAGUUCGGUCCCUAUCUGCCGUGGGCGCUGGAGAAUUGAGGGGGGCUGCUCCUAGUACGAGAGGACCGGAGUGGACGCAUCACUGGUGUUCGGGUUGUCAUGCCAAUGGCAUUGCCCGGUAGCUAAAUGCGGAAGAGAUAAGUGCUGAAAGCAUCUAAGCACGAAACUUGCC
rnacentral:rRNA from 1 species